UAUAUAUAUAUAUAUAGAGAGAGAGAGAGAGAGAGAGAGAGAGAGAGAGAGAGUUCGGCUACUGUACUUUUAUGAGUGUUGGGUCGCUUAUACUCAUAAGUUUUCGACCCUUAAAUUUAUUCCAUUGAUCAUUUUCACCCGUUAGAUCAUAUUAUUCAACCAACUACCCACUCAACCUGACGGGACCAUUAUCAUUCUAGGUGGGAAUCACCAUCAUCCUAACCCCACAUCCCAGCAAUCAACGGUUAAAAAUUUAUGAGUACAAAGAGUCUAUACUCAUAAGAGUAUAGUAAGCUCAGCCUAUAUAUAUAUAUAUAUAUAUAUAUAAUUAGACUGGAAUACUAUUAAUAGUAAAAUUUUCUUUUUGCUAUCAAGUUUUUAAUCCUUGGAUGAAAAAUUGUAGGGUUAGGAUGAUAUUAGUCAGUUAGAGUUGAGUGGUCCCCCUAGGGUUGAGUGGUCUCCACUGGGUUAUAGUAUUUAAUCCAAUGGUUAGAAAUGAUGAAAAGAGUUGAUCCAAAGGCUAAAAAACUGGUAGCNAGUAUUUGAAGUACCUAGAAAAUAAAUUUUAUGAUUUUACGAUAUCAUUUGCCUAGUGAACGAAGGGGCUCAAAAUCAACGGCUGAAAAUAAAAAUCUUACAAAAUGUAAUAAUAUGAUAUUAAAAUUUUAAAUCAAAGAUAUUGAUCUUGUUUUAUAUAGUAUAAAGAAUUUUCUAUCAAAAUUUCACGUGAUUUGGAUAUUUCUACACCGUUAAACUUGCAAACGGCUCACUACGGCCAUUGAAAUUUGAUGAUUUUGAGCUCAUUCGAUCACUAGGCAAAUGAUAUCGAAAAAUAAUAAAAUUUAUUUUCUAGAUACUCCAAAUACUCUAAAUCAAGUUUAACGGAGCCGAUCGAUGAUUCGAAAGUAGCAAUAUCGAAAACGAGCUGGAAGCACGGAAGGCUCCGUGCUUCCGAUAGCAUAGUAGCCUCACUCUAUAUAUAUAUAUAUAUAUAUAUAUAGAGAGAGAGAGAGAGAGAGAGAGAGAGAGAGAGAGAGAGAGAGAGAGAGUUGAACUAGAAUACUAUCGAUAGCAAACGAGUUUCGUUACCAUUCAUUUAUUUUCGAUGAUGGAGCGUCUAAAUCGACGAUCGGCACUGUUGAACAUGAUCUAUACCACUUGAAGUGUUUAGAAAUUAAAUUUCAUACAUUUUCGAUAUUGUUCUCUUAUUCAUUAAGUGGACACAAAAAUGAACUACUGGAAAAUAAUAUUCUUUAAAAAAUGAUGAUAGGAGUCUUGUAAUCAAAAUCAAGAGUAUAGAUCUUAUUUCAAAUAGUUUAAAUAAUUUUCUAACAAAAAUUCAAUUGAUUUGGAUAUCUUUACGCCGUUAAACGAGAAAAUGCCUCAUAUCGACCAUUAAAAUUACAAAUUUUGAGACCCUUUGAUCAUUAGGCAAAUGAUGUCGAAACGAUUUAAAAUUUAAUUUCUAAACACUUCAAGUGGUAUAAAUCAUGUUCAAUGGUGCCGAUCAUCGAUUUGGGGGUUCUAUCAUCGAAAAUAAAUAGAUGACAACGGAGCCCGUUUGCUAUCGAUAGUAUUCUAGCUCAACUCUCUCUCUCUCUCUCUCUCUCUCUAUAUAUAUAUAUAUAUAUAUAUAUAUAUAUAUAUAUAGGCCAUGGCUACUGUACUAUUAUGAGUAUUGGAGCCCUCGUACUCAUAAGUUGUUUUCAAUGAUGGAGCUUCCGAAUCGACGAUCCACUCCGUUAAAUAUGAUCUAGAGUAUUUGAAACUUCUAGAAAAUAAAUUUCGUAAAUUUUCGAAAUCAUAAUAAAGUCCAUCAAGUCGGCAUAAAAUGAAUGGUCAAAAUCGAACGACGUUCUAAAAAAGCAUGAUCGGAUCCUUCAAUUCAAAAUCGGAGUUAUUGAUCUUUAUCUAUGUAGUGAAUAGAAUUUUCUAUCAAAAAUUCAACAAAUUUCGAUUCUUUUACACCGUUAAAUUAGCAAGUAUCCCAUACCGGCCGUUAAAAAUGGUCAAAUUUGUGACCUCUUAAUCGUAAGGUAAAUGAUGUCGAAAAAUUAUAAAAUUUGAUUUCCAGAAGUUUUAAAUGUUGUAAAUAACGUUCAACGGUAUGGAUCGUCGAUUCGGAAGCUCUAUCAUCGAAAAUAAUUUAUGAGUACGAGGGCGAUCGUACUCAUAAUAGUAUAGUAGCCGGACCCUAUAUAUAUAUAUAUAUAUAUAUAUAUAUAUUAUCUGUA
rnacentral:lncRNA from 1 species